AGUGAACGCUGGCGGUAGGCCUAACACAUGCAAGUCGAACGGCAGCACAGUAAGAGCUUGCUCUUACGGGUGGCGAGUGGCGGACGGGUGAGGAAUACAUCGGAAUCUACUUUUUCGUGGGGGAUAACGUAGGGAAACUUACGCUAAUACCGCAUACGACCUACGGGUGAAAGCAGGGGAUCUUCGGACCUUGCGCGGUGGAAUGAGCCGGCGUCGGAUUAGCUAGUUGGCGGGGUAAAGGCCCACCAGGGCGACGAUCCGUAGAUGGCAGGAGAGGGUGUAAGGCGACAUUGGGACUGAGGGACGGCCCAGACUGCUACGGGAGGAAGCAGGGGGGAAUAGUGCACAAUGGGUGCAAGUCUGAUGCAGCGACGCCGCGUGGGGGAUGGCGGCUUUCGGGUUGUAAACAAAUAUCGCUAGGGACGAAGCGUUUUGUGACGGUACCUGGAGAAGAAGCACCGGCUAACUACGUG
rnacentral:rRNA from 1 species